rnacentral:rRNA from 1 species
UACGAAGGGGGCAAGCGUUGUUCGGAAUUACUGGGCGUAAAGGGCGCGUAGGCGGCCGAUCAAGUCAGGCGUGAAAUUCCCGGGCUCAACCUGGGGGCUGCGCUUGAUACUGAUUGGCUUGAAUGCGGGAGAGGAUAGUGGAAUUCCCAGUGUAGAGGUGAAAUUCGUAGAUAUUGGGAAGAACACCGGUGGCGAAGGCGGCUAUCUGGCCCGUAAUUGACGCUGAGGAGCGAAAGCGUGGGGAGCGAACAGG